AGCUUUGCGCAGUGGCAGUAUCGUAGCCAAUGAGGUUUAUCCGAGGCGCGAUUAUUGCUAAUUGAAAAAUUGAAUAUUUUUUGCCACAUUUUGUGCCAACAGUUGACUG
rnacentral:snRNA from 1 species